UACGUAGGGACCAAGCGUUGUUCGGAUUUACUGGGCGUAAAGGGCGCGUAGGCGGCCUUCUAAGUCGAACGUGAAAUCCCUGGGCUCAACCCAGGAACUGCGUCCGAUACUGGAAGGCUUGAAUCCGGGAGAGGGAUGCGGAAUUCCAGGUGUAGCGGUGAAAUGCGUAGAUAUCAGGAAGAACACCAAUGGCGAAAGCAGCUCUCUGGGACGGUACUGACGCUGAGACGCGAAAGCGUGGGGAGCGAACAGG
rnacentral:rRNA from 1 species